CCAGUAUGAAGCUCGAAGCUGAGGGGGGUGGACGCGUGUCUGACGUAGCUCCACUCCAGCCACUUUAGCCACAAUGGAUGCUGUCGCAGGACCUUCUGGAGUAAAAAUGACCCCGAAGCAGUUUUACAAGAAGAGGAAGAAAACAUUGACCAGUGAAGAAAUAGCAGAGAGCCUCACCUGUAGUGACACUGAAAAUAUGGGUGAAUAUGAUGACAAUGAAAUUGAUGACAUCGGCGAUCCCGAAAUACCAGAUAUUGGCAGCAGUAGUGAGGAAGAAGAGGAUGAAGAUACAGUUGUUUUGGUAUUGGAUGAUGCAGAAAUUAUUGAAGCUCCUCAUCCUCCAGCUAAACGUAAAAGAAAGAGACGCAUCAUCUGGAAACAAAUUACUCAAACAAGAGGACCACCUUCCAUUCCUGUUUUUGAUAGUGAAGAGCAGUCAGAAGAUGAGGUUUUGCUGACACCUUUGCAGUAUUUCAAGAAGUUUUUGUCUGAUGAUUUUCUCAAAGACAUUGUUGAGCAAUGCAAUUUGUAUGCUCUGCAGCAAAAUCCAAAUAAGCCACUAAGUCUUACAUGUAGUGAAUUUGAACAAUGGCUAGGAUGUUCCUUCUUCAUGUCAGUUAGUAAGAUACCCAAUACACGUCUUCAUUGGUCUUCUUACACAAUGAGUGACGCUGUAUCAUCAGUUAUGAGUAGGAAUAGGUGGGAAGAGAUCAAGUCCCAUUUGCACCUAGUGAAUAAUAAUACCAUUGACAAGACUGACAAAUUAUGCAAAGUAAGAAUGUUGG